rnacentral:rRNA from 1 species
AGUGAACGCUGGCGGCAGGCCUAACACAUGCAAGUCGAACGAACUCUUCGGAGUUAGUGUCGGAUGGGUGAGUAACACGUGGGAACGUGCACUUAGGUUUGGAAUAACUCUGGGAAACUUGUGCUAAUACCGAAUGUUCGCUUAGGGGGAAAGAUUUAUUGCCUUUAGUGGGGCCAGCGUCAGAUUAGCUAGUUGGUGAGGUAAAGGCUCAAUAAGGCGACCAUUAGCAGCUGGUUAGAGAGACUGGUCAGCCACACUGGGACUGAGACGCGGCCCGAACUCCUACGGGAUGCGGGAGUGGGGGAUCGUGCGCAGUGGGCGAAAGCCUGACGCAGCCAUGCCGCGUGAAUGAUGUAAGUCUUAGGAAUGUAAAAUUCUUUCACCGGGGACGAUAAUGACGGUACCCGGUGAAGAAGCCCCGGCUAACUUCGUG